GGGGCGUUAGCUCAAUGGUAGAGCAGUUGCCUCUUAAGCAAACGGUUAGGGGUUCGAGUCCCUUACGCCCCA
rnacentral:tRNA from 1 species